rnacentral:rRNA from 1 species
CGAACGCUGGCGGCGUGCUUAACACAUGCAAGUCGAACGGAAAGGCCCCUUUGGGGGUACUCGAGUGGCGAACGGGUGAGUAACACGUGAGUAACCUGCCCUUGACUUCGGGAUAACUUCAGGAAACUGGGGCUAAUACCGGAUAGGAAUCCUUGCUGCAUGGGGGGGGUUGGAAAGCUUCGGCGGUUUUGGAUGGACUCGCGGCUGAUCAGCUUGUUGGUGGGGUAGUGGCUUACCAAGGCUUUGACGGGUAGCCGGCCUGAGAGGGCGACCGGCCACAUUGGGACUGAGAUACGGCCCAGACUCCUACGGGAGGCAGCAGUGGGGAAUAUUGCACAAUGGGCGGAAGCCUGAUGCAGCAACGCCGCGUGCGGGAUGACGGCCUUCGGGUUGUAAACCGCUUUCAGCAGGGGCGAAGCUUGUGGUGACGGUACCUGCAGAAGAAGCACCGGCUAACUACGUG